rnacentral:tRNA from 1 species
GAGGGGCUAGUGAAAACAUCACAGUGCCUUGUCGAGGCACAGUUACGGGUUAGACCCCCGUGCACCUCC